UACGAAGGGUGCAAACGUUGCUCGGAAUUAUUGGGCGUAAAGAGCUCGUAGGCGGUCUGUCGCGUCCGUUGUGAAAACUCGAGGCUCAACCUCGGGCUUGCAGUGGAUACGGGCAGACUAGAGUGCGGUAGGGGAGACUGGAAUUCCUGGUGUAGCGGUGGAAUGCGCAGAUAUCAGGAGGAACACCGAUGGCGAAGGCAGGUCUCUGGGCCGCAACUGACGCUGAGGAGCGAAAGCAUGGGGAGCGAACAGG
rnacentral:rRNA from 1 species